rnacentral:misc_RNA from 1 species
UCCGAGUUGACCCCGGCAGUCUCUUAUGAGUCCCCACCAUCACGUGCUGGCAACUAAUGACAAGGGUUGCGCUCGUUGCGGGACUUAACCCAACACCUCACGGCACGAGCUGACGACAGCCAUGCAGCACCUAUACAGCAGCCCUUGCGGGAGAUCUCAUUUCUGAGACUGUCCGCUGUAUUUCGAGCCUGGGUAAGGUUCUUCGCGUUGCAUCGAAUUAAACCACAUGCUCCACUGCUUGUGCGGGCCCCCGUCAAUUCUUUUGAGUUUCACUCUUGCGAGCGUACUUCUCAGGCGGUAUACUUAACGCGUUAGCUACGACACAGCCAGGGUUGAGCCUAGCUAUAUCAAGUAUACAUCGUUUACGGCAAGGACUAC